UGAUAAUUCAAAUGCUCAGAAGGUGGGUACUGGAUACAGUGGGUUUGGAAUUCUCCAGCGGCAGGUUGCCCUGCCGAAGGUAACAUGAGGUGUGGAAUAGGCAGGGAUGGUAAGCUCGGGGCCGCCAGGUUUCCCAAGGCUGCACCCGUGAGCAAAUGGUAAUGAUCCUUCCGCAGGUUCACCUACGGAAA
rnacentral:misc_RNA from 1 species